UUAAGUUAUUAAGGGCGCACGGUGGAUGCCUUGGCACUAGAAGCCGAUGAAGGACGUUACUAACGACGAUAUGCUUUGGGGAGCUGUAAGUAAGCUUUGAUCCAGAGAUUUCCGAAUGGGGAAACCCAGCAUGAGUUAUGUCAUGUUAUCGAUAUGUGAAUACAUAGCAUAUCAGAAGGCACACCCGGAGAACUGAAACAUCUUAGUACCCGGAGGAAGAGAAAGAAAAUUCGAUUCCCUUAGUAGCGGCGAGCGAAACGGGAAGAGCCCAAACCAACAAGCUUGCUUGUUGGGGUUGUAGGACACUCUAUACGGAGUUACAAAGGACGACAUUAGAUGAAUCAUCUGGAAAGAUGAAUCAAAGAAGGUAAUAAUCCUGUAGUCGAAAAUGUUGUCUCUCUUGAGUGGAUCCUGAGUACGACGGAGCACGUGAAAUUCCGUCGGAAUCUGGGAGGACCAUCUCCUAAGGCUAAAUACUCUCUAGUGACCGAUAGUGAACCAGUACCGUGAGGGAAAGGUGAAAAGCACCCCGGAAGGGGAGUGAAAUAGAACCUGAAACCGUGUGCUUACAAGUAGUCAGAGCCCGUUAAUGGGUGAUGGCGUGCCUUUUGUAGAAUGAACCGGCGAGUUACGAUUUGAUGCAAGGUUAAGCAGUAAAUGUGGAGCCGUAGCGAAAGCGAGUCUCAAUAGGGCGUUUAGUAUUUGGUCGUAGACCCGAAACCAGGUGAUCUACCCUUGGUCAGGUUGAAGUUCAGGUAACACUGAAUGGAGGACCGAACCGACUUACGUUGAAAAGUGAGCGGAUGAACUGAGGGUAGCGGAGAAAUUCCAAUCGAACCUGGAGAUAGCUGGUUCUCUCCGAAAUAGCUUUAGGGCUAGCCUCAAGUGAUGAUUAUUGGAGGUAGAGCACUGUUUGGACGAGGGGCCCCUCUCGGGUUACCGAAUUCAGACAAACUCCGAAUGCCAAUUAAUUUAACUUGGGAGUCAGAACAUGGGUGAUAAGGUCCGUGUUCGAAAGGGAAACAGCCCAGACCACCAGCUAAGGUCCCAAAAUAUAUGUUAAGUGGAAAAGGAUGUGGCGUUGCCCAGACAACUAGGAUGUUGGCUUAGAAGCAGCCAUCAUUUAAAGAGUGCGUAAUAGCUCACUAGUCGAGUGACACUGCGCCGAAAAUGUACCGGGGCUAAACAUAUUACCGAAGCUGUGGAUUGUCCUUUGGACAAUGGUAGGAGAGCGUUCUAAGGGCGUUGAAGCAUGAUCGUAAGGACAUGUGGAGCGCUUAGAAGUGAGUAUGCCGGUGUGAGUAGCGAAAGACGGGUGAGAAUCCCGUCCACCGAUUGACUAAGGUUUCCAGAGGAAGGCUCGUCCGCUCUGGGUUAGUCGGGUCCUAAGCUGAGGCCGACAGGCGUAGGCGAUGGAUAACAGGUUGAUAUUCCUGUACCACCUAUAAUCGUUUUAAUCGAUGGGGGGACGCAGUAGGAUAGGCGAAGCGUGCGAUUGGAUUGCACGUCUAAGCAGUAAGGCUGAGUAUUAGGCAAAUCCGGUACUCGUUAAGGCUGAGCUGUGAUGGGGAGAAGACAUUGUGUCUUCGAGUCGUUGAUUUCACACUGCCGAGAAAAGCCUCUAGAUAGAAAAUAGGUGCCCGUACCGCAAACCGACACAGGUAGUCAAGAUGAGAAUUCUAAGGUGAGCGAGCGAACUCUCGUUAAGGAACUCGGCAAAAUGACCCCGUAACUUCGGGAGAAGGGGUGCUCUUUAGGGUUAACGCCCAGAAGAGCCGCAGUGAAUAGGCCCAAGCGACUGUUUAUCAAAAACACAGGUCUCUGCUAAACCGUAAGGUGAUGUAUAGGGGCUGACGCCUGCCCGGUGCUGGAAGGUUAAGAGGAGUGGUUAGCUUCUGCGAAGCUACGAAUCGAAGCCCCAGUAAACGGCGGCCGUAACUAUAACGGUCCUAAGGUAGCGAAAUUCCUUGUCGGGUAAGUUCCGACCCGCACGAAAGGCGUAACGAUUUGGGCACUGUCUCAACGAGAGACUCGGUGAAAUCAUAGUACCUGUGAAGAUGCAGGUUACCCGCGACAGGACGGAAAGACCCCGUGGAGCUUUACUGUAGCCUGAUAUUGAAAUUCGGCACAGCUUGUACAGGAUAGGUAGGAGCCUUUGAAACGUGAGCGCUAGCUUACGUGGAGGCGCUGGUGGGAUACUACCCUAGCUGUGUUGGCUUUCUAACCCGCACCACUUAUCGUGGUGGGAGACAGUGUCAGGCGGGCAGUUUGACUGGGGCGGUCGCCUCCUAAAAGGUAACGGAGGCGCUCAAAGGUUCCCUCAGAAUGGUUGGAAAUCAUUCAUAGAGUGUAAAGGCAUAAGGGAGCUUGACUGCGAGACCUACAAGUCGAGCAGGGUCGAAAGACGGACUUAGUGAUCCGGUGGUUCCGCAUGGAAGGGCCAUCGCUCAACGGAUAAAAGCUACCCCGGGGAUAACAGGCUUAUCUCCCCCAAGAGUUCACAUCGACGGGGAGGUUUGGCACCUCGAUGUCGGCUCAUCGCAUCCUGGGGCUGUAGUCGGUCCCAAGGGUUGGGCUGUUCGCCCAUUAAAGCGGUACGCGAGCUGGGUUCAGAACGUCGUGAGACAGUUCGGUCCCUAUCCGUCGUGGGCGUAGGAAAUUUGAGAGGAGCUGUCCUUAGUACGAGAGGACCGGGAUGGACAUACCUCUGGUGUACCAGUUGUCGUGCCAACGGCAUAGCUGGGUAGCUAUGUGUGGACGGGAUAAGUGCUGAAAGCAUCUAAGCAUGAAGCCCCCCUCAAGAUGAGAUUUCCCAACUUCGGUUAUAAGAUCCCUCAAAGAUGAUGAGGUUAAUAGGUUCGAGGUGGAAGCAUGGUGACAUGUGGAGCUGACGAAUACUAAUCGAUCGAAGACUUAAUCAA
rnacentral:rRNA from 1 species